rnacentral:tRNA from 1 species
UUGGGUGUAUAUCAAUUGGUAGAUUUUCAGCCUUCCAAGCUGACAGUUACGAGUUCGAAUCUCGUUACCCAAU